CGACCGGCGCACGGGUGCGUAACGCGUAUGCAACCUACCUUUAACAGGGGGAUAACGCUGAGAAAUUGGUACUAAUACCCCAUAAUAUCAUAGAAGGCAUCUUUUAUGGUUGAAAAUUCCGAUGGUUAGAGAUGGGCAUGCGUUGUAUUAGCUAGUUGGUGGGGUAACGGCUCACCAAGGCGACGAUACAUAGGGGGACUGAGAGGUUAACCCCCCACACUGGUACUGAGACACGGACCAG
rnacentral:rRNA from 1 species